rnacentral:rRNA from 1 species
CAGUAGCCGCGGGAAUACGUAGGGUGCGAGCGUUAAUCGGAAUUACUGGGCGUAAAGCGUGCGCAGGCGGUUGUGUAAGACAGGUGUGAAAUCCCCGGGCUUAACCUGGGAACUGCGCUUGUGACUGCACAGCUAGAGUAUGGCAGAGGGGGGUGGAAUUCCACGUGUAGCAGUGAAAUGCGUAGAGAUGUGGAGGAACACCGAUGGCGAAGGCAGCCCCCUGGGCCAAUACUGACGCUCAUGCACGAAAGCGUGGGGAGCAAACAGGAUUAGAGACCCGCGUUAGUCCCUGUCUCUUAUA